AGUUUACUCUGAUAUUGGCCCGGUUCACUCAAAUACAUAACAUAUUCAUCAUUUACGUUAUAUUUGAUUGAGCCGUGCCAAUAUCUCAGUAUACUCU
rfam:Cucumis melo, WGS project CAJI01000000 data, contig: 01480